CAAAAAUGAGGAAAAUUUUACAUUUUCUCAAACAGGGUAAGGAACUUGGUUCCUCGCAUAACUUCUGGCACAGACAUCUGAGGGCAUGGCCGUCCAAGAAGAAAAUGUAGCCAUUGUUGCCAUCUAUCGACCACAGGUUAAAGAUUGGAGAUCCGUUGGAUACCGAUCGAGUUAUAGGCAAAACUUGGUGCAAAAAUGAGGACAAUUUUACAUUUUCUCAAACAGGGUAUGGAACUUGCUUCCUCGAAUAACUUCUGGCACAGACAUCUGAGGGCAUGGCCGUCCAAGAAGAAAAUGUAGCCAUUGUUGCCAUCUAGCGACCACAGGUUAAAGAUUGGAGAUCCGUUGGAUAUAGAUCGAGUUAUAGGCAAAACUUGGUGCAAAAAUGAGGACAAUUUUACAUUUUCUCAAACAGGGUAAGGAACCUGGUUCCUCGCAUAACUUCUGGCACAGACAUCUGAGGGCAUGGCCGUCCAAGAAGAAAAUGUAGCCAUUGUUGCCAUCUAUCGACCACAGGUUAAAGAUUGGAGAUCCGUUGGAUAUAGAUCGAGUUAUAGGCAAAACUUGGUGCAAAAAUGAGGACAAUUUUACAUUUUCUCAAACAGGGUAUGGAACUUGCUUCCUCGAAUAACUUCUGGCACAGACAUCUGAGGGCAUGGCCGUCCAAGAAGAAAAUGUAGCCAUUGUUGCCAUCUAGCGACCACAGGUUAAAGAUUGGAGAUCCGUUGGAUAUAGAUCGAGUUAUAGGCAAAAGUUGAUGCAAAAAUGAGCCGUAUGAUAUUUUCAAAUUUUUGUAAUUUUUUAUUAUUUUUUACUCUUUUUUUUUGUUUAAAGCAUUAUUUGAGUGAAAAGAAACUCAUUGGAACCAAUUGGCAUUAAAAUAAAUCAAUUUUAUUUUUUUUGCAAAAUUUCUCAAAAAAAUGGCAAGGGGUAAGCCUUAUGAAAUUUUCGAGUAGAAAUUUUUUUUGAAAUUUUUUUCUGAUUUUUUAUUCUUUUUUUAAUUUAAAGCAUUAUUUAAGUGAAAAGAAACUUAUUGCAACAAAUUCGCAAUAAAAUAUAUCACAUUUAAAAAUUUUGCUGAAUUGCAGAAAAAUGAGAAAAAUUUUACAUUUUCUCAAACAGGGUAUGGAACUUGGUUCCUCGCAUUACUUCUGGCACAGACAUCUGAGGGCAUGGCCGUCCAAGAAGAAAAUGUAGCCAUUGUUGCCGUCUAUCGACCACAGAUUAAAGAUUGGCGAUCCGUUGGAUACCGGUCGACUUAUAGGCAAAACUUGGCGCAAAAAUGAGGAAAAUUUUACAUUUUUUCAAACAGGGUAAGGAACUUGGUUCCUCGCAUUACUUCUGGCACAGACAUCUGAGGGCAUGGCCGUCCAAGAAGAAAAUGUAGCCAUUGGUGCCGUCUAUCGACCACAGGCUAAAGAUUGGCGAUCCGUUUGAUACCGCCCGAGUAAUAGGCAAAAUUUGGUGCAAAAAUGAGGAAAAUUUUACAUUUUCUCAAACAGGGUAAGGAACAUGGUUCCUCGGAUAACUUCUGGCACAGACAUCUGAGGGCAUGGCGGUCCAAGAAGAAAGUGAAGCCAUCGGUGCCAUCUAUUGACCACAGGUUAAAGAUUGGAGAUCCGUUGGAUACCAACCGAGUUAUAGGCAAAAUUUUGUGCAAAAAUGAGCGUUAGAAAAUUUUCAAAUUUUUAGAAUGUUUUUAUUUGUUUUAAUUUCCGAUUCAUUUUUCACUUAAAGCAUUAUUUGAGUGAAAAGAAACUUAUUUCAACCAAUUGGCAUUAAAAAAGUUCAUUUUAUAAAAUUUUGCAAAAUUUCCCAAAAAAAAGCUAAGGCUAUAGCCUUAGGAAUCUUUAAAAUUUUCAGAAUUUUUUAAAAUUAUUAAUGAUUGUUUAUUCCCCUUUUUAUUUAAUGCCUUGUUAGAGUGAAAAGAAACUUAUUUCAACCAAUUCGGAAUAAAAUACAGUGGAGCGCCGAUUAUCCGUGCUCAUCGGGAUUCUGCCCUUGUCGGAUAAGCGAAUAUUACGGAUAAUAGGCACAACUCUUUUUAUUCAUAAAUAUUAGUGUUUAGUGUGUAAUGGGUAGACUUUUUUUUAUAAAGCUAAAUGUUAAUUUUCUUUGUACUUUGCAAAGUACAUAUGUUCUUUUUUUUCGAAUUUGAGCAUAUUAUAUCACUACCUAUUGAAGCUAUUAUCUCUUGCCAUCAUCGGUUUUGCAUUUCCUUAUGCCAAUCCUCCUUCGGAACUGUUAUUUCCGAGCUGCACGGAUAAUGGGACAGCCGGAUAAAAGGUACCCGGAUAAUCGGCGCUCCACUGUACC